CCGCCCUGGCAGAGCACCACCCACUGAUGCUUUAUGUACUUUAUACUAUAAAAAACAAAAAUUGCCAAUGGUAAAAUACUGACACACAAAUCUGAUUUGCAGCCUGUCUUAAGAAAUCUGAAGCUCUAGCCCCCGGGGAUUUUAGUCCUCACGGGACAGUGGUCACCUGGACAGUGCUCAUGCCGGUAGGACAUGCGCAGCCAUUGCCUUCCAGCUCACUGGUCUCCGUGCCUGAGCUCUGCAGAAAUUUGUGUUUGCAGCCAGACCCAGAGGAAGCUGGGCCCGUACCCUCUGCCCUUCCAGACAGCCGGAUGCAAGUGCCUCCCACCAGAGUAACACCCAAGGCCACAGAGGGUUCAGUCCCACUGGGCAGGUCACAAAGGACAUGUAUCCCUCUGGCUCUGGCAGGACCACUUUAUCCGGCCAGGACGUGCUGCGGCCUCAGCAGGAGCUGCACAGACAGUGAUCUGCCAGGGUGUUUUGCAAAUCCUUCAGGAGCUGCUGAGUAGAGGCUCUGGUCUCUGGGUGUCGCCCAGGGAGAGUCAGUCUUGUGCGUGGCAGGGCUACGGCCUCUCCGGGGAGAAAGAAUUAAUGAGAGCUGUGAAAGGUCUGUCCUCAGAGCCCCAGGGAGGCUCCCGACGAAGGAGCUGCCAGGCUGAGGGAUAAGGGACGUGUUCCAGGAGAGCAGUGACUGCGACCGUCAUCUAGAUCAGCUCUCCGGGGAACCCAGCACCCCCCUUUCUGGUCAGCCCUGUGAGCUGUGAGCUGCCAUCUGACUCAGCACUGCCAGGGCCAACCUGGCCACCCUGGAAUUUGCAGGGAUUUACUGAAAGGGGUGUAUUUAUAGACAUGCAACAUCCUCUGUGAUCGCCAUCAAUACCCGUGGGACCUGCUUCUAUUUGCUUGUGGAUUGUCUGCAUCGUUCUAUCAUCAGCAUCAGAUGUGUUGUCUUGCAAAUUCAGGAACCACCUCUGAGCACAUUUAUUGACAAGCUACAAUACCUGACCCCAACGCGCCAAGCAGGCUGUUCUAGAGACGGCAGGAACAGAUGCAACACGGGCUCUGGUGGAAACCAAGGCAGGAAAGUCCUAAUUCGCAGCUUCGGAUGUCAGCCAGUCUCUUUCCUGUCUGCUGAUUAGACAUGGAAAGGUUUCCUUUCUCCUCCGGAGCUGAGCGCUGAACAAGGUUAUUAACAGGCCCUUUCAAGUUUUCCCUUUGGGAAGCUGUACAAACAGCUGCACUAAAAGGAAGAGGAAGAAGUGCUAAUGCAUCUGGAACUCGUCCGCACACCUUCUAGCGCCCCAGGCUGUACCCGGGCAACCUUGAGGUGGAAGCAGCGCCAGGCAGCACAGGUUGGAGGCCUGAAGAGUUUCAGCAAAGCUCACUGCUGAUGAGAGAGCCGCCAGGGCCUGCCCUGUUCAGCCAUAUCAGGGAGAAUAGGCUGUUCCCCAAGAUAAAGAUGGGUUUAGUUUUACCAUGAUUGGGAGAUGGGGUGCUGAUUUCUCCACUUGGAGGACCUUGCUGACUGUGAGAACUUCCUGCUGGAUUUGAAGGUGCCCGAGCUCCCGUGGGCUCACAGCGCUGCAUCUGUGUGCUGUGCUGGGGAUGCAGAAAUCCUGUAGGAGCUGUAACAAGGAGAAGAGGCAGUGAACAGGCAACCUGGUGUAAAGACAGUCAGCUGGUGAAGGUCUCAGCUUGCGCAGUUCACCGUGUCGCCUGGGAAACCCCCUGCUCCCCUCGGGACUUCACUUUCUUCAUCUCACAGAGGAAGUGCUCCUUUGCACAGCAAAAUUCCAUUCAACAAACACUUUCCAGUGUCAAUUGUGGGCCGCUCUGGUGCUAAGAGCAAGAGAAAAAUAAAGAUGAAUAAGACAGCGCCUGUGUCCUUGAAAGGGUCACACGCUGGUGAAGGAGAGAGACUUGGAUACAACCAGAGCUGAAUCCCAAGGACGAGUUCUGGUGCACAGAGAAGCAAUAAACAAACACAGCGCAGGGCUCCAGGCACCAUGGGAAAAAAGUCGCCCAUUGCUUGUAAAUAGAUUGCAAUAAAACAAUAGCGACGGAACAUUUAGUGGAAGAGAGAGUCAAGCGAGAGGAGCUCUGGUGUGGUGGCCUUUAAGCUGCAGGAACAAAGAACAUUGAAAUGGACUCAGAUGAAUCCUUUAAAGACAACCAGCUUUUGAAGGCUUAUUAAUCAACCUCUUGGGCAGAAUACCAGACAAUUUUUACUGGAGUGAAGGCAAAAACAAAUAAUAAAAAU